rnacentral:rRNA from 1 species
UACGUAGGGACCGAGCGUUGUCCGGAAUCAUUGGGCGUAAAGAGCGUGUAGGCGGCUUGUUAAGUCUUGCGUGAAAUCUCGGGGCUCAACCCCGAGCGGUCGUGAGAAACUGGCAGGCUAGAGUGCGGGAGAGGAGAGUGGAAUUCCUGGUGUAGCGGUGAAAUGCGCAGAUAUCAGGAGGAACACCAAUUGCGAAGGCAGCUCGCUGGAACGUAACUGACGCUGAGACGCGAAAGCGUGGGGAGCAAACAGG